CGGGGUGAGUAAUGUCUGGGAAACUGCCUGAUGGAGGGGGGUAACUGCUGGGAACGGUAGCUAAUACCGCAUAACGUCGCAAGACCAAAGAGGGGGACCUUCGGGCCUCUUGCCAUCGGAUGUGCCCAGAUGGGAUUAGCUAGUAGGUGGGGUAACGGCUCACCUAGGCGACGAUCCCUAGCUGGUCUGAGAGGAUGACCAGCCACACUGGAACUGAGACACGGUCCAG
rnacentral:rRNA from 1 species